GUUAUGAUUGAGCAUAAUAGAAAUUAUGUAGAGGAUAUUGAACAAUCAAGAUAGGAUUUGUCCCUUUCUUUGAGAGAGUUAUCUUCUGGGCCCCUCGAUAAGUGAGACUAAGAAAUGCAUGGCCGUGCUCAAAUGAAUUGAUAGUGUGAUCAAUAUCAUUUGAAUUUAUCAGUCUACUUAGAAAUCGAGAAAUCAUAAGUUUGAACAUUAUAAGUUUGACAUUGACCAUGACUUAUGUUCAAACUAGAUAUCGUGUGACAAAGGGAUUAAUACAUGUUCCAUUUAUUAGGCUUUAUCGUACUAUUGAUCCUCAUAUUAGUUGGG
rnacentral:lncRNA from 1 species